rnacentral:rRNA from 1 species
GGUACUUGCAGAAAAAGCGCCGGCUAACUACGUGCCAGCAGCCGCGGUAAUACGUAGGGCGCAAGCGUUAUCCGGAAUUAUUGGGCGUAAAGAGCUCGUAGGCGGUUUGUCGCGUCUGCUGUGAAAACCCGAGGCUCAACCUCGGGCCUGCAGUGGGUACGGGCAGACUAGAGUGCGGUAGGGGAGAUUGGAAUUCCUGGUGUAGCGGUGGAAUGCGCAGAUAUCAGGAGGAACACCGAUGGCGAAGGCAGAUCUCUGGGCCGUAACUGACGCUGAGGAGCGAAAGGGUGGGGAGCAAACAGGCUUAGAUACCCUGGUAGUCCACCCCGUAAACGUUGGGAACUAGUUGUGGGGUCCAUUCCACGGAUUCCGUGACGCAGCUAACGCAUUAAGUUCCCCGCCUGGGGAGUACGGCCGCAAGGCUAAAACUCAAAGGAAUUGACGGGGACCCGCACAAGCGGCGGAGCAUGCGGAUUAAUUCGAUGCAACGCGAAGAACCUUACCAAGGCUUGACAUACACGAGAACACCCUGGAAACAGGGGACUCUUUGGACACUCGUGAACAGGUGGUGCAUGGUUGUCGUCAGCUCGUGUCGUGAGAUGUUGGGUUAAGUCCCGCAACGAGCGCAACCCUCGUUYUAUGUUGCCAGCACGUAAUGGUGGGAACUCAUGGGAUACUGCCGGGGUCAACUCGGAGGAAGGUGGGGAUGACGUCAAAUCAUCAUGCCCCUUAUGUCUUGGGCUUCACGCAUGCUACAAUGGCCGGUACAAAGGGCUGCAAUACCGUGAGGUGGAGCGAAUCCCAAAAAGCCGGUCCCAGUUCGGAUUGAGGUCUGCAACUCGACCUCAUGAAGUCGGAGUCGCUAGUAAUCGCAGAUCAGCAACGCUGCGGUGAAUACGUUCCCGGGUCUUGUACACACCGCCCSYCAAGKCMUGAAAGUCGGUAACACCUGAAGCCGGUGGCCCUAACRCCUU